GUCUCGGAUAGCUUAAUUGGUAGAGCAUUUAGCGCGUAACCAAAAGAUCCAGGUUCGAGCCCUGGUCUGGGCU
rnacentral:tRNA from 1 species